rnacentral:rRNA from 1 species
GCAAGUCGAGGGGUAACAGGAGUGCUUGCACUUGCUGACGACCGGCGGCCGGGUGCGUAACGCGUAAACAAACUACCUUAUGCUGAGGGAUAGCCCAGAGAAAUCUGGAUUAAUACCUCAUAGUAUCAUAAAGCUGCAUAGUUUAAUGAUUAAAGGUUACGGCAUAAGAUGAGUAUGCGUCCUAUUAGUUUGUUGGUGUGGUAACGGCACACCAAGACUACGAUAGGUAGGGGCCCUGAGAGGGGGAUC